rnacentral:rRNA from 1 species
GGGCCCGCACAAGCGGCGGAGCAUGCGGAUUAAUUCGAUGCAACGCGAAGAACCUUACCUGGGUUUGACAUAUACCGGAAAGCUGCAGAGAUGUAGCCCCCGCAAGGUCGGUAUACAGGUGGUGCAUGGCUGUCGUCAGCUCGUGUCGUGAGAUGUUGGGUUAAGUCCCGCAACGAGCGCAACCCUCGUCCUAUGUUGCCAGCGGAUAAUGCCGGGGACUCAUAGGAGACUGCCGGGGUCAACUCGGAGGAAGGUGGGGAUGACGUCAAGUCAUCAUGCCCCUUAAGUCCAGGGCUUCACGCAUGCUACAAUGGCUGGUACAAAGGGCUGCAAUACCGCAAGGUUGAGCGAAUCCCAAAAAGCCAGUCUCAGUUCGGAUUGGGGUCUGCAACUCGACCCCAUGAAGUCGGAGUCGCUAGUAAUCGCAGAUCAGCAACGCUG